GCCAAGAUGGCCGAGUGGUUAAGGCGCUACACUCAAGAAUCUAUCUUGCCUGGUUACCUGGGUUUGUAGUAUCGAAAGAUGCUUGGGUUCGAAUCCCAAUCUUGGCA
rnacentral:tRNA from 1 species